rnacentral:rRNA from 1 species
GUUUACGGCCAUACCACCCUGAAUGUGCCCCAUCUUGUCUGAUCUCGGAAGCUAAGCAGGGUCAGGCGUGGUUAGUACUUGGAUGGGAGACCACCUGGGACUACUAGGUACUGUAGGCU